CAGUAGCCGCGGUAAAACAGAGGGUGCGAGCGUUAAUCGGAUUUACUGGGCGUAAAGCGUGCGUAGGCGGCUUUUUAAGUCGGAUGUGAAAUCCCUGAGCUUAACUUAGGAAUUGCAUUCGAUACUGGGAAGCUAGAGUAUGGGAGAGGAUGGUAGAAUUCCAGGUGUAGCGGUGAAAUGCGUAGAGAUCUGGAGGAAUACCGAUGGCGAAGGCAGCCAUCUGGCCUAAUACUGACGCUGAGGUACGAAAGCAUGGGGAGCAAACAGGAUUAGAUACCCGGGUAGUCCCUGUCUCUUAUAC
rnacentral:rRNA from 1 species